UAAUACUUAUAGGAAAUAUUUGGAGAAAUUUACGACAACGUUAAAAGAACAUUUCUUAACCCAUAACUGAAUGAAUGUGAAGUCCAACAUUUUUUGCCGCUGAAAGGUGUACUAUAACAUCUGUCAGAAAGUGUUAUUCAAGAAAUGUUAGACUGAACUAUAACUAUGUAAGAGUAAUCGCUACUCUCAAAUAAGUACUCACUACUCUCCCCAUCUUUUGAAGCGCUUAAUAAACACCCAGGCGUUAAUAAGAUCAUUUACGGUACAUAAUGCUGAUCGUGGAUUUUAAACUAGUAACACUGUACUAACCAGCCAAAUCUUCCUGACGAACACCAACGGUUCUUAUAUUUCGCAUUAUAUAAUGUCAUUAAAAUUAAUUAAAUUUAGUAUUAAUUUUAAAGUUAGCUAACUAGAUAUCGCCAUGACAUUUACAAACAUAUAAUAAGAAGCUUCACUACUUGUAGUGCAUGACUUCCAAAAUUAUGCUUGUAGUGAACGUAUUUCAAGGAUUUGUAGUAACUUUUGUAGCG